AAUCGCCCAGCUGUCCCCUCAGACGGCAGCCCGUGGCCGUCCCCUUCGCCGUGGGAUGCGGGGAUUUGGGGCGGCUGAAGGAGUUGGGGCGGCUGAAGGAGUUGGGGUUCCCACCACCGCAGCGCUGCUGCCCUCACAGGGGCCGGGCCCCCCCGAGCCUCCAGUGCUUGUUGAGGUUUCAGUCUGCAGUCUGCUGAUCUGAAAGAAAGAAGGCGGCUUUUGGAGGACUUAAUCAUUGCGAGUCGAGCUGCUGCUGAACCUCCCCUUCCAACAUCCAGCAGGUUUGUUCUGCAGGCCCCAAUGAUGGCACAGGCAUGAAAGAGCCCAGAGCUCGUCGCUGGGGAGAGGCUGCGUAUGGCGUUGUGAAGGGAGAGAUGGAGGAGGGGUUUGAGCAGCGCUGUGCAGGAAUGAACGGCUGGUAAGAGAAGAGGUGUGUGUGCUGAGAGCAAGGGCUGUACGGCUCCUCUCUGUGUUCUCACAGGAAGUGCACGGCAGAGCUCCUUGCUCUCUGUUCUUUCUUGCAAGGCUGCGGCGCUUCAAAGUGCGCUGUGGGUGGGCAGCGCGAUGACAGCCCAAGGGUGGCACCAGGAGAUGCAGCGCAGCCCUCUGCAGCAGCAGGGUGCAUUGAUUGGUCUUGCUCAUUCUUGAAGGAGAAGGCAGGAGUCGGGCAGCGGUACUGCAGCUCCUCUGGCAGCUUUGCAGCUCAGUUGGGAAGCAGAAGAUGUGGAUGUGAAAGAAGAAGUCCGUUGCUGGGACGUUCCCCUGUUCUUCCCCCAGCUGUCCCCUUGCCUCAGCCUGGAUUCCCCUUGCGUUCCUGUAGAAUUCCCUUCCAUCCCCCUGGCUGCCCCUUGCUUUCCCCAAGGCUGCCCUUUCAUUUCUCAUGACAGCCCACCCAUCAUUCCCUCAGAGCCCCAAUGUCCUUCCAAGUGUUUCCCAGCAAGACCCCUAGAGACACCCUGUAGCCCCCCACAGAGCCCUGGAGCCCCUCAAGGACCCCCUCAGACGCAGUACACCUCCCCCGUAGCUGGCCCAUACCCACAUGGUGCCCCACAAUCCCCAGCAUCACCCCAUGUCCCCCACUGGGCUUCCACGGAGUCCUCCUAUUUCCUCCCUCAGACCUCCUUUACACCUCCAAGAUCCCCCCUGGGAACUCCCUGAACCCCAGGGAACCCCAUGUUCCCUGACAGGUCCCCAUCACCAUGCCAGGACCCCCAUAGCCCAUCUUUGGCCUCUCCUCCCCCUGACCUGCCUCCAGAUCCCGUACAACCUCCCGGUGCUGUGGCAUGGAUGGCUUCUGCAGGUUCCUGCCGGGUUUGUGGCUUCCUGAUGGGGAACUCCUCAUCUUCUUCUGCGACUGCCCCCCAACGUCACUACUGCCUCCUCUGGUGCCGUACUGGCAGAUGCCUCAGCGUUCAUGAGCCUGGACUUCCUGCCUCCCAUCAGCAGCUGCUCCUUCAUUCAGACUGCAAUACCGUCCACUUCCAGCACCAGCAGAGCUGCAAGGCAGAGAUGGGAAACGUGGGAUGAAUGCAAACGCAGAAGCCCAAGGCUGUCCCACCACCACGUAUUGCAGCCUUGGAAAGUCAGCUGCAACUACAACCUCUGUCAGAAUCAAAACGGGCACCGUACAUUACGGGUGACCUCUGAACUGAAGGAAUUACCACAGUCGGAAAUACAUA